rnacentral:rRNA from 1 species
CCUGGCUCAGAUUGAACGCUGGCGGUAUGCUUAACACAUGCAAGUCGAACGGCAGCACAGCAGAGCUUGCUCUGUGGGUGGCGAGUGGCGGACGGGUGAGUAAUACAUCGGGACCUACCCAGACGUGGGGGAUAACGUAGGGAAACUUACGCUAAUACCGCAUACGUCCUACGGGAGAAAGCAGGGGAUCUUCGGACCUUGCGCGGUUGGACGGACCGAUGUUCGAUUAGCUUGUUGGUGAGGUAAUGGCUCACCAAGGCGACGAUCGAUAGCUGGUCUGAGAGGAUGAUCAGCCACACUGGGACUGAGACACGGCCCAGACUCCUACGGGAGGCAGCAGUGGGGAAUAUUGGACAAUGGGCGCAAGCCUGAUCCAGCAAUACCGCGUGUGUGAAGAAGGCCUUCGGGUUGUAAAGCACUUUUAUCAGGAACGAAACGCUGUCGGUUAAUACCCGGCGGAACUGACGGUACCUGAGGAAUAAGCACCGGCUAACUUCGUG